UACGUAGGGUGCGAGCGUUAAUCGGAAUUACUGGGCGUAAAGCGUGCGCAGGCGGUUUUGUAGGCCAGAUGUGAAAUCCCCGGGCUUAACCUGGGAAUGGCAUUUGGGACUGCAAGGCUGGAGUUUGGCAGAGGAGACUGGAAUUCCUGGUGUAGCAGUGAAAUGCGUAGAUAUCAGGAGGAACACCGAUGGCGAAGGCAGGUCUCUGGGCUGAAACUGACGCUCAUGCACGAAAGCGUGGGGAGCAAACAGG
rnacentral:rRNA from 1 species